rnacentral:rRNA from 1 species
UCCAGACUCCUACGGGAGGCAGCAGUGGGGAAUAUUGCACAAUGGGGGAAACCCUGAUGCAGCGACGCCGCGUGAGUGAAGAAGUAUUUCGGUAUGUAAAGCUCUAUCAGCAGGGAAGAAAAUGACGGUACCUGACUAAGAAGCCCCGGCUAACUACGUGCCAGCAGCCGCGGUAAUACGUAGGGGGCAAGCGUUAUCCGGAUUUACUGGGUGUAAAGGGAGCGUAGACGGCAUGGCAAGUCAGAUGUGAAAGCCCGGGGCUCAACCCCGGGACUGCAUUUGAAACUGUCAGGCUGGAGUGCAGGAGAGGUAAGUGGAAUUCCUAGUGUAGCGGUGAAAUGCGUAGAUAUUAGGAGGAACACCAGUGGCGAAGGCGGCCUGCUGGACGACAACUGACGGUGAGGCGCGAAAGCGUGGGGAGCAAACAGGAUUAGAUACCCGAGUAC